AUUGAACGCUGGCGGCAUGCCUUACACAUGCAAGUCGAACGGCAGCACAGGUACUUCCUCCUGUUGCCGGGUGGCGGUGGGGUGCGUGAUAGAUAGGCACCUGAACUGUCUUUUGGGUUGGGGAGGACGAAGGGGGAUUUAUACCACAUCCGCUCUCCGGCUGCGGGUGGAAGCCGUGCAGCUUUCGACCUUUCGGGUUUGCAUGUGGCGAUGUCGGAUUAGCUAGUUGGCGGGGUAAAGGCCCACCAAGGCGACGAUCCGGAGCUGGUCUGAGAGGAUGAUCAGCCACACUGGAACUGAGACACGGUCCAGACUCCUACGGGAGGCAGCAGUGGGGAAUAUUGGACAAUGGGCGCAAGCCUGAUCCAGCCAUACCGCGUGGGUGAAGAAGGCCUUCGGGUUGUAAAGCCCUUUUGUUGGGAAAGAAAAGCAGCAGGUUAAUACCCCGCUGUUCUGACGGUACCCAAAGAAUAAGCACCGGCUAACUUCGUG
rnacentral:rRNA from 1 species